GACUCUUAGCGGUGGAUCACUCGGCUCGUGCGUCGAUGAAGAACGCAGCUAGCUGCGAGAAUUAAAUGUGAAUUGCAGGACACAUUGAUCAUCGACACUUCGAACGCACUUGCGGCCCCGGGUUCCUCCCGGGGCUACGCCUGUCUGAGCGUCG
rnacentral:rRNA from 1 species